CGUUUGUGAAAGUGAGUCCGUUUUUAAUUUUCUAUCUUGUAUUUAUUCUACAUAUAUUAUUAACUUUGGCAUACAAACCGAACUGCAUCAUAAUAAGUCUUGCUUGUCUGCCUAAUCUUUGUUAUUGCUCUAAUGUUUCCGGGGGUUGCGUAUCUGUCUAAUCAUAAUAGCAAUUUGUUUUUUUUUUUUUUUCAUUGUGCACUUUGAUUUCAUUGAAGCGUCGCGUUUUUUUCUUUUUUCUCCUUAUUCUCGUUUUCAAGCUCUAUAUGGUCUGUCCAGUUAUUAGUUAUCCCUGAUCUUAAGAAUAUUUGCAGUUAAAUACAAAUGAGCUAUAUGGAGCGAAUGAACUCGAGAGGAUGAGACUUUAUUACUCGAAAAAGCAAUAAUUCAAUCAGUAACAGGUACACUUGACUACUUACUAAUUUUUUUCGUCUUAUGGUGCAGCUGGUGUAAAAGUAUAUUUGCUAGAGAAAGGCCUUGAAUAAUUUUCUUUUUUUUUUUUCUCAUUAGAGUAGAAUCUUUUUUACUUUCAUUUGUACAGGGAUCCUGAAUUGAGAUGAAGUCUUAGAGAGAGAGAGAGGGAGGGAGGGAGAGAGAGAGCUGUUCGAAAGCGCUGCUCGAAAGCUUGACGGACAAAUGGAACGAAAAAGCCUCCUUCCUUAUAGCCCAUCUUGAAGGGUUCAAUUCCUAUUCCCUUGAGGUUCGUUUCGGGUUGAAAAUUGAAGCAAGUCUGAAGUUAGACCUGCUGCAUUCUUGCGGUGGUUUCGAGACAUAUAAUGCUAGAGUAAACUGCAAAAAGUACCAUCCGUGUAAUCUCCAAAUAGCAAAAAACUCAUGUGAUAAAUAAACUAGCAAACACCCCCCACUCGGCCCAUUAUUCAUUUGAGUGUUGACUUAAUAUAAAAAGACACAAAUACUCUCAUG
rnacentral:lncRNA from 1 species